UACGGGGGGGGCAAGCGUUGUUCGGAAUUACUGGGCGUAAAGAGCUCGUAGGCGGCUUGUCGCGUCGGAUGUGAAAGCCCGGGGCUUAACUCCGGGUCUGCAUUCGAUACGGGCAGGCUAGAGUUCGGUAGGGGAGAUCGGAAUUCCUGGUGUAGCGGUGAAAUGCGCAGAUAUCAGGAGGAACACCGGUGGCGAAGGCGGAUCUCUGGGCCGAUACUGACGCUGAGGAGCGAAAGCGUGGGGAGCGAACAGG
rnacentral:rRNA from 1 species